CCGCCCCGGGGCAGGCUGGGAAGUGGAGUCCGCCUCUCCGCAGCGCCCGCUGUCCAGCGGCACGGAAGGACUACGCUUCCCAGCAGGCCCCGCGGUAGGGAGGCGGGGCUCUGGGGCAUGCUGGGAAUUGUAAUUCACCCGGGCUGGCAGCCUCACGGCGGCCGGAGAUGAGAGAACUACACGUCCCACAACGGCCCGGGGCGCGGACGGAGACAGGCCGAGUGCACCCUGGGAAAUGCGAGUCAUGACUCGGAUGCGAGCAGGGAAGACUCCAAGACCCACAAGGCACCGCACGGGGCCCUGCUCCUCCCGGCGUUUCCUCGGCACUGCGGGAGGGGAAGAGCGCAGCUGGGAAGGGCCGGCCGGCCGCGUGCUCCCGGCGGACUUCCCGUUCAGCAUUAGUGACGGAAUCAAGUCGUAGUGCACCAGUGACGUCGUAGCCGUGACGUCAGGGGCAAGGAUGGCUCAGGGUGAUGUCCCUUUUGGAGCAAGGGCGUGGUGGGUAGGGUUGCCAACCCUCCCGGAUGGGCCGGGAGCCCACCGGAAUCGGCAUCCACCUCCCCGAGACUGUUGAAAGCAACCCGGGAGUUUUAAGAAAGGAUAUUUUAAAAAAAUGAAAUUCAUGACGUGACGUGACGUUGGAGGAAAAAAUCUCCCGGAAUAGCUUCAGUCAGAGUUGGCGACCUCAGUGCGGGGGGGCAGAGUCAGAAGCGCUUCUGGGAACGCCGUUGUUGCGGGAGGCAACAAAGCACAUGCGCCUGCGCUGCAACAGCACCCCGCCAGGGCCAGGGCCGGCUCUCACUCUCCCUUGUCUGCAGCUCGGAAGUCCCCGCGAGCCUGUCAGGGGGUUGCGUUGUCGUCUCAGCUCAAUACAGGGUCAGAUGCGGUCUUGGCUUUGGUUUUGGCGGCAGCUUUUCCUCCCAGUCUGGACAGAUGAAGUGGAGCUACAGCCCGCAGCGGCACCCCAUUUCUACGCAGUAGUAUUUGUACUCGUAUCUGCAGGAACAAAACGUAGCAACAAAAAUGCUUAGAUCAUUGAUCGCAUGUUAUUGUUCUGCAAAGGAAACCAGUUUUGCAUCUUUCUGCAGGCUGAAAAUAAGAGUUCCUUGUGAAUCCAUUACAAAACCCUGUUUUUGUUCUCUGUUUUCAUUUAAUCUACAAGCUACUUGUGUAAAUCAGGGGCUGACCUGAAGCAUUUAAGAUUUGAACAAAGCAAAACGCAAGCCUAAAAAUAUCAAGAAAAUGUCCUUCUUUGGUCGGUAGAAUGCAUCUUUCAUACACUCUACAGAUCUUGUAACUCUUAUUCACGUGGUUCAAGCAAGUAGGCCAAAUUGAAUCAAGUCGUCAAGACUGCAUAUUAAAGCGAGUUACGAAUGCUCUGCCAGGCCUUAGGAAAGUUAUCCACGGGGGAUCUGACGAGUCUAAUCUCUGCUGCACAGUAUGCUGUCAUCAUCUUCCAACACUAACAGACUACAGCUCUCUCCAAGUUAAAACAAGUUAUUUGCAUCCUCUGCUGGGAGAACAUUGCUGUUUCUCUUUAAAUACAUUUUUAUCUUCGCCAUUUGUACAUUGCAGAUGUCUUACCCAGUGAUUUCUAAGGACUGGCUGCCAAACAAAAGUUCCCAGAGACAUUUGCGUGUGUGCACCCCCCCCAGGUUAAAAAGAAAAAUUAAGUCGUGUUCCGGUCUAAAAAAAGCAAAGGCUUAUUCAGUGUGUGACUCCAGGCUCAGCACUGCAGUUUUGUUGCUGCUCUUUUCAAGGGAAGUGGUGCUGGCUCCUACCCUGGGGGUCUUUCAGAAGCGGCUCGAUGCCUACCUGGCUGGGGUCACUUGAGCCCAGUUUCCCUCCUGCCCAGGCAGGGGGUCGGACUUGAAGAUCUACAAGGUUCCGACCCUACUUCUACGAUUCUAUGAUUCUUUCCACAUACCGCCCCCCCACUUAUGAUUAAAAUUAUCACACAUGCACACACAUCUUUAUAGUUAAAAUUCUUUAGUUAAAAUUCGCAAUGGUGGUUAAAAUACCAUUGGAAAUAAAUUUUGAUGUGACCAUAUCGAAUGUACUGACCAACUCCUACCUAUUUCCAGAAUUGCGCUGAUGCACAAUGAUGAGGGUUCAAGUGCUAAUGGAACACUGUUUGCAAGUCAUUUCUAGGAUGCAUACACCAGGGCUCCCUUCCAUUACAGUUUCUCCCACCCCCAGCUUAUAGAUCGUGUUUUGAUGUUACAUUUUAAUAGAAGAGCAGCUCUUUUUCCUUCCCCAGGGUUUAUGCCUGUGUUGCUGCCUUCUUUCUGCUCUUCUCCAUACACUUUACUGUCUCUUCAGGGGCUUGCACUCUCUCACAUCCAUGAAGACAGCGGGUCUCAGCAUACCAAUUGUUCACCUGCAGGGAUCAUGUUACUAAGAUGGCCUCCAAUGUGUUGAAUGGAAAGGAGGAGUCUGUGCAACAUCUGGAUAUGUACUAGCUGGAACUCAGUAUUUAUUACUGACUUAAUAGUUCGAGCCAUUUUCACCAAUCAUUUGUGCUCUAGAUCUUCUGUACAGGUACUAUUUGUUGGAUUAACUUUUACCUGAGAGGGUUCUCAGACAUACCAAGAAACGUGGAACUGCUUAUUUCUAUCAGUGGGAGGCCUGCAAUAAAAAAGAACCUGAGAUCACCAAGGAAGAAGGGAAAAAGAAAGCAGGAGUGAAAGAUCAAAAGUAAGAAAUUCAGAUAUUGGCAGCAAAUGUAGAAAGCAGUUCAACUCCACAGGAAGCAAUACACUGCCAACACUGGCUACCACCUAAGGGAUUCCAAACACAAGAAGUCACUAGUGUAGUUUUUAAACACUUGGAUUAUUCAAUAUAAAGGCAUUAAAAUGAGAAAACUUUUGCUAAGCCAUAAACCAUGUGUUGAUAUUAACAGUUUGAAGAAUUAAAAGACUGAUUAGCUUAAGACCUGUGUUCUUUGAACACUGGCUCUGUUUGCACUGUAGAAGAGCAUGUUAAUAAAUUUGAGGCUGAACCUAGGGAAGAUUAGGUGAAAUAAUUUUUAAAGGAGUUUGGAGGAUGAGUUAGAGCCUACAGGGAAGUAAUUUAGCUUGACCUGCUAGUUCACUGGAACACAUUGCCUUUUCUUCAUCAGGACUUGCCUUGGAUAAACAAUGAAACUUUUUGCAGCAAACUGUCUUCUUACAUACAGUUCUAGAAAGACAUUGAAAUCGGCUGUCCAAAAGAUGACAAGAUAGAUGCAACUGUAUGUUAUACAACAUUUCUCAAAAGCACGAGUUUUAACUCCACUCUUAGACUAAGUACUUUUGCCUAGCUUUGAAAUGCUUAUUUUAUACAUGAUUUGGUUUUCAGUGAUUAACCAAGCACAGCAUGGUACUUGUACAUUUUUGUCUCAACCCAAAAACCAGAACAGUAUCAUUUUAGUGUUAGCAAAUGCACUGCAUCUUCCUCCACAGACUAAUUUCAGUGGGGAGACUGGUUCUUCCAUGAUCUCAGCAUUGAAAGGACAUUUGGGUGUCUGACAGAUUUUGACAGGUCCGGGCAAUGUAAAAAAGAACCUCAUCACAUGAAAAGAAAAUGACAAAACAUCCUGACCCAAUGCUAAAUGAGGUUGCUCUUAUUUUAGAUUUAGAAAGACAGCAUUUGUUUCUUAUUUUAUUUACUUGAAUGCAAGACAAGGUCCUCCUUGCCUCGUCAGUACUGGAGGGGAGAAGUGGGAGCCUCAACUUGAAUAGGAGUACAGGCCUAGGGCAGGCUGCAGCUUAGCUCUGGCUUUGUCCUCUGUUCUGAGGCUGAAGCUGGAGCUCAAGUGCUGCUGGCCCUGGGCUGGCAUGGCUCAUUUGGCUGUGGAAGGGGGUAUGCAGUAGGGGUCAAGUCAUCAAGAUUCGGCCCAAAUCAGGGACAGUGAUUCGAUUAAUUGGUUCGGAUCAUUGCCCCCGAUUCAAUUCAGCUGAAUCUGAACCUGAAGAGUCGAUGCCGAUUCGGACAAGGCACAGCUUUAAAUGUUUUUUCUACAUACCUUGAGGUAGCAGGUGCAGCUUGUGAACACUGCGAUGCUGGGGCACAUGGAGCAUCCCACAGGAGUGUGCUCUCCCCAGCAGACCCAGAAGUGCUUCCAGAAGUGGAUUGGAAAUGCUUCUGGGUCUGCUGCCGAGCUCACAGCCCCCCGUGGUCCUGUGGGACACGCCAUGCACCUCAGCAUCGCAACAUUCACAAGCCCCUGCUACCUAGAGGUAUGUAGAAAAAACAUUUAAAGCUGUCUCUAUGACCAUCUUUCUGAAUCAAUUCAGAGGGUCCUCUAAUUUGAUUCGGAUUCAGAGAUUUGGGUACCGAAUCGGGCUGAUUCUCCACCGAAUCAAAUCAGGAACCGAAGCUUCGCACAGCCCUAGUAUGCAGGGGAGACUGUAGGGUUGGGUGAGGGGAACCUGUAGUCUCCUUAUGGCUACACCCAACCCCCUGCUUCGUCUGCAGCCUGCUCCCCCCUACUCCAACCCUGACCUGACCUGGCGGGGAAGCUGCCAGCACAAAGGGGAGCAAAGAUAGCAGCUGUCACCCCCGUGUCCCCCAUUGCCAGUUGGCUGAGGGCUGCAUGUUAUGCCCUUUGCCCCUCCCUUGGCCAAUCAGCAGCAGCACAGAGGGGAGGGCACCGUGAAAAGACCACAAAAUGCACAGCAUGAGCAGUUCACAAUUUUGCUUUCACCUUGGCGCAAUUUAGUUAGAUCUGUAUUCAUUACAUCUUAUAGCAUAAUUAAAACUUUUAUGGAUUAAUUUUUUGGUGGUAGAAUUAAGGGAUAAUGGAAAUAAAGUACUUUUAAUGAACUAAUUUUUAACGUAAAAGUGAAUUACAUUUAAAAAGUGAUAUGGAUGAUGCUUAUGGACACUGGUGCACUAUUUUGCCACCGUUGCUCAUAUGACAAUCAGCUAAGAUGUUUCAAAAUGCUAAUAUUCUUAAUUUUCUUGUCAUUAUUUUUAGAAAUGUAAUGCUUCCUACAUCAAUUUGAUAAAAUGAAGAAGAUAUUUAGAAAUACGGUAGAUCAGAAUUCUUUGAUUCUCCCAGGUGUAUACUGGUGUUUUAGUCAUUUAAGUAUUAGUAAAUAGCGUAACACAGCAAAAGCAUCUCUAUGCUGACUUUUAUCUUGAUACUUGAACACAAAUAACAAGCCAUCUCAAUAUUGAUAGGAAGAGUCUCAAUGUCUGGAUGUGACAGCUCUUUCACUAGUGUUCAAUUAAAGGAGGAAAGCUACAAUAAUGUAUGCAGAAGUAGAAAGUUUUCGAAGACCAGCCCUGCAGCUGAUGAAAGUUCAUUUCCUUUUAUUCCAGAAUCUUUGUCCUUUUAAUUGGAUGUCCUUUAACAUUGUCCCCCAAUUUCUCUUACAGAUGCACAUUCUUUUGAUACCAGCAAAUUCUACAUUAACUUCUAAUUUGUGUUUUUCCAAGGGCAGCCUGAAUUGAAUUUUCAGUCACUGGGAGGCACGGGUUUUUUUGUGUACAUGAAUUCUGAUUUCUCUGACACUAAACUAGUGCACUGGUCUUUAUGUGGUAAAUGGGAGUUAGAAAGCCAGCUGAUAACAUUUUUGGUGACAGUUAUUUGAAAUGAAACAACAAUAAUAACAGUGAUGAUUAACAGUUCUAUUACAAGCUCAAAUGCCAACUGGUGAUAAACAGGAAGAGGAAUGUUUGGAGCUCAGUUUAGUCAAGAUUAAGUAACCUAUUGCAUUUUUCAGAAGGAGUUUCACAUGACAGAAUAUUCACAAUUAUAUUAGUUGAAGCAAAAUGCCAUUUCAUAACACAAGAAAAACAAUUAGAACAUUAGAACAUAUAUUGUAUUUAACUCACUUCAACAAAAGAUCAACUGGUGCUCUAAAUAAAGGGGCGAGGAGGUAGCAGCAGGAUGCAGGUAGCAAGCUACUUCUCCCCCUAGCCAGAUGGGGAACCAUUUAGUAACGGGGGAAAAUACGGUCAUCUCUUUAUUGUUCCCUUUUAGUUUUAAUCUCUUUUGCUCCCAGGUAGUUCUACCCUUACAUUCCUCCAACUGUGCCCUUCACCUCAUUUGCACCCCCUACUUCUGCACAGUCCCAUCAACCCAACCUGAUAUAAAGCUUCACCAACAUAUUCCUUUAUGCUCACACACUGGAUGGAGCACCCAGUCUUCCAUACUUCUAAAGUGCUCUCGAGUGCCUCUUCUCAGCCAACAUCCACAUGACCUCUACAAAGCUACCGUUUCACAUUUUACAUCCAGAAAAAGUCUAACCCUUUCCCUUUCUGUUACUACUUCAUCCUUGCUCAGAAGCAAAAAUGCAAGCACUUCUUGUGGCCAGAAGUAGGUUACAGAAGCACUGGGGAAAAGACUAUGGUUAGAAGGAACAGACAAAGUGGCAACAGAUCCUGCUUAAGUUCUAUCAUCAUAUAAGCCUAGAGAAGCCUUAUUUUUUUUGUGAUGUCUCCUUUCUCUGCUUGCACUCCAUGUACAGCAAUAAGAGACCCCAGGGGCCACAGCAGUGUCCACUCCAUCAGGCGUUCCUUAGUGACAACAGAUGGUGCUUGACCCUGCAUAGCUGACAGCUGUGGCAUUAUACUGGUGAGCUCCAUUAGCUCUAGCUAUUGCUUAGCCAUCCAUGGUUAAAUAGUUAUUAAAAUAACUCCACAUAAACACAGAGACAAGGUUCAGUGCAAUAGUGGAGGCAAAAAGAAUUAAAAAGGGGGUAUUCCUCUGCAAUAUAUGCAUAUUUUAUGGCAGUGAUUUUAAUUUACAUUUAACAAGGAGAGCAAGAAAAAGAAAUGCUACAUCCAGAUACAUAAUGGAGUCCAAGUUUAAAAAGCACUCUAAAGCUAAGACUGAGUGACCGAAAAGGUAAAUUAGUAUCUUAGGAAACUGUAAUAAAAACUGGAAUUUAGCUUUAAAUAUAGCAUUUGCAAAUGGCAAAUGCGGUGCGGGUAUAUGUAAAGAAGCUUCCCAUGACUCUCUGUACUGACUGUAAAUGAAGUAAGUGUUACAUUUUAAAACAAGGGGCACCUACACACGUGCCCAGUGUCUGCCCCAAUGAGUGCUCAUUAGCACAUAUUGCAGCAGACUUGAUUAACUGAGUCUGGUGGAGCAUGUUAAUUAACAUCCAGCAGCCUUGGCAUCUCACGUAGUCAGCAUCCCCAUGUUUCAAAAUGGUGGUGGUGGUGCUUUAACUAAAGCUUGUUGAGACACUGCAGGCUCUUUAAUUAGAGUGGCUUCCAAGAGCUGCUCUAAUUAAAGCACCCCCCACCCCUACCCCCAUCCCAGAGCACGUAAAGACACCCAAGGAGCCCAUUGAAGUGACCUAUAAACUGAUCUGACAUAUUUUGGCAAUCAAGUAUUCCAGUCCACUUAAAAACAAACAAAGAAACAAAGCAAGAGGGGUGUAGGUUGUAGCCAUGUUGGUCUAAGGACAUAGGCAGACAAGGUUCUUUGAGUGAAUCUGGCAUCUUUUACUAGACCAACUUAAAUAGUUGGAAAAAAAUUUUUUUAGCAAGCUUUCGGGUUUAAAACCCCUUAGUUGGCUAAGGAAGCCUCUGCAGUUGGUGUGUGCUCUUCCUGGAUGGAAUGAAUAGUAAAAAAAGCCAGAGGCUGGGCUGGUAUGCAUCCAAGACAGGCAGUCAGUGAAAAUGUAAACUGAGGAGUCAGUGGGUGAGAGACAGGCUGGGUGGGGGGAGAGAGAAAAGGGGGUGAAUGUAACCGUGGAAUAGUGGAGAGGUACUUGGGGAGUCAGAUGUUAGGCAGGUUAUAUGUCAUUAAUCCAAUAUCUAUAUUUAGUCCAUGAAUUUUUUGUAUCCAGAAGGUUGAUGAAGUGAAGUUCGUAAGCUUGUCUCUGAAAAGUGUUUUGUAAGUUCCCUUUGAGGAUUAGAACGGAGAGAUUGGAGAGAGUGGUUUUCUUGUGAGAAAUGUGCUCCCACAGGUAGUUGGAUAUUCUUGUCUUUUUGAUAGAUUUUCAGUGUGCGUUCAUUCUGGUGCACAGUUGUUGUUUGGUCUCCUACAUAUUUUCCAUCAGGGCAUUUGAUGCAUGGGACGAUCGAUCGAUCUAUCUAUCUAUCUAUCGUUGAAAAAAUAGAUAUAUAUAUCUUUAUCUAUGUAGAUAUAUAUAGUUGGAAAAAAAAUACAUUGGAUGAGAAUUUUUUUCCCCAACUAUUUAAGUUGGUCUAAUAAAAGAUAUCAGAUUCACCCAAAGAAAGUAAGACGCACUCUACUUUCCCUACACUGAUUCUGUAGCAGCAAGACCCUACCACAGAUACAUUAAGUAUUCAAAGUAUUACUUUGACUCGCAGUGAAAACAGACUGAAGGGACUCACCACCUAACAUGAAAAAUAACCACGUACCCCAUCAAGCUGUGCGUGUGCAAACUCAUGCAUAUAUCCACAUGAUAUUUAACUAUCCUCAGCAUUUACCCUAGAGUUAAUUGGUAGCCUGUUAUCAACCCCCCAGCUAACUCAACAUUCAAGAGAAACCAGAGAUAGAGCAGAAAGACAUCUCCCAAUUAGCUACUUGCACCUGGUUGGCCUCAGUUGUUCACUAGUGACCAGACCUAGUAAAGGACUGAGAUGCUGUAACACCGAAAAUAAGUUUUCAGUGUCUGGUUUCAGAAACUGACACCGAGUUGAAUCUGUUUCUAGGUUCCCUACCUACAUAGGGUACAGGGAGAAUUCAGUCCUCCUGAAUGCAGUCCAAAGUGCCAGAACAAUGAGCAGGUAACUGCUUAGAGGUAUGCAAGGGAAGAUAAUGAGCACAAGGGCAUAUCUGAAAGUUCACCCCUUUCAGAGGUUAGGCUGCAGGUAGGCACCUCUAUACACUAAGAAUUCAUAGCCUGGAAUUCACUCCUGAGUGUAGGUUCCCAUAACUAUUCUUGCAAGGAACUAAGCUGUCAUGCUCUUUGAAACCAACGAUAGCCAUGGUGUUUACUUUUACAUAGCUGACUACUGGUUAGAGCUCUUGGCCAAAAAGCUGAAAACCUUCUUAGCCAGAGGGGGUUCAAACCCACAGCUCCCUGAGAAACUGCACUACUCACUAGGUUAUUUAUACAAGAGAAAGACAGCACCACUCCUGCAUUUUGAAGUAAGUGGCCGCAACCACAUUUAAGGAGCCUGAUCCCAAAACUGUUAGAUGAUUGCCUCCAAGAUUGGGUGUCUCAGGGAACUUGGGCAGAGAAAUCUCUAGUUUCUGGAUCCCGAUAAGAUCCAGAUGGACGUUACUGAAGGGGGAUCAGUCCUGAGCAUGCACAGACGUAACUCAAGUUCUCCAGGUGCCCCAAGCUUGGUCAAGGAGAAGCUAGUGAAUGUAAUGGCUCCAGGUCUAGGCAGCAGCUAAACAAGGGCUUUUUGAACUGCAACCUUGGAUGUUGGGGGAGGGGAACUUCCCAACUGUACGACUGAUGUUCUUUGCUGUUUUUUGUAGUAUAAGGAAGAUAAGGAGCACAGUUAUCUCAGGUGCUAUAAAAGCAUACUUUGAAUUGUUUUGUUUUUUUUUAAUUUCCAUGGUGUAUUUAUCCUUAGCAAUUCAUUACCAUGCAUGAUAUUGUUAAUAUUUAUAAAGCACUGAAAAUACUUUGAUGAAAGGGGCUAUAGAAAAAAGUUAUGGUUUGUAAAUGGGAACCCCAGUUUGUUUUUAUAAAAUAUUUUUGUGUCCUGUCUCUGCCAUCUGAUACAGUCUUCUUCCAUCUUGCUGAAAAUAAUGCAUUUUGUUGCUGCUUUGCUAGAAAUCCUUUCAGAGAUAUGUAUUUCACAUUUUAAAAGGGAGACACCAUGGAACGUCUAUUAACGGGACUGCAGGAAUAUUACAGUUCUUUUCUUGGUGUAAUGGAGUCCUUUAUAUUUGUACUAAAAGUUAAAAAGUUAUUUUACUGAAUAUUUCUAAGUCUAUCCAUAAGCCUAUUUGUAACAGUCAAAGUAAAUACUAGAUUGUAUUUUUAAUCUUUAACUUAAAUGCUACCAUCUCAAAUUUGUGACCAACUCUUACACUUGUGAUAAUCUGUACACUCAUUCAAAAAUCCUUUGCUAAAUUUAGCUUCAUGGUGAGCAAGUAAAAUUCACGUGUUCUUUAUUUUCGUCCAUAUAAUACACCAUUUUUAGAAUUUUAAAAUUAGAUAAAAGAACAUAUUAAAUGGCAGGUGUAUGAAGUUCUUCAUAAACAACGUCAGAACAAAAUUUGAAUUACAAAAUGUUAAAAAAGAUGCAGGUACAUUUGAACUUAACAUCUCACUAAAGCAAAAAGAUACAGAUAUUGUCUAAAGAAAAAUAAUUGUGCCACUUACCUAUUCUUGCUGUUUCUAGGAACUUUUUUAUUCUGUACAUAGGACCAUUCUGUACAAAAUAUGAAGUCUACAUUUUUAUUACUUAUUACCAUAAAACAAAGUACAAUGUAUGUACAAUAUUAAAAUGAAGCCAUACUGAAGCCACACUAAAAAGACACUUGGAAUAUUACUUUUGACAUUCCUGAUGUACAGGUGUAAUUUUUGGGAACAGGGAAGAUGUUGGACACAGAACUUUAUGAAGAACAACAGUCACCAAAAUUCUACUUUAUUUUUCACUUUUUAUUUUGGCUGUAUUGGUUUUAGAAUAGUUUAGUACAGGACUAUACAAAGUGUAGAAAUGGUGGUAACAAACAUGUGAAAGCAUUAGUGCUGAUAAAUUUUGGAAUACUGUCUAGGCAAAUGUUCUAUGGCCCAAAACUUAAACAUUAAUUUCUGACAAAUGUAAAUUUGUAAAAAACCAUGGUAUUUCCCUUUUUGGUGAAUGUUUAUCUUCAAUAAAGAACAGAAAUAAAAUUCAGACAGUGAAAGAUGUUCUUAUAUGUUGAGCAUUACACAGUCAACCAAACACUGAUAUACAAUUUUUUUCCUAGGGUAAAAUAAGAGUAAUUCUUUUCAGAAACCUCUUGCACAAACAUAUUCAACACCCAAAAAUCAAAGAUAUUUGAAAAUCUACCAGCUAAAGAUGGAAGUUCAAACAAUGGUAUAUCAAAAUACAUAGACAUUGCU